GAGUAGCGGAGAAGAAGCCUCAGGGACUGACCGAAGCCCCCAUUCCCCUGCAGUGCUUGUGACGAGGAGCUGAAAGAGGGUGGAUGGGGGGAAGGUGUUUUUAGUUUGUCACUGCUCUAAUUUGUUAGUAAUAGUUAAUAAAUUACAUUAAUCUCCCUACACUGAGUCUGUUUUGCCCAUGAUGAUAAUUGUUGUGUGAUGUCCCUGUCCUGAUCUCAGCCCUUGAGUCCUUUCCAUGGUAUUUUCUCCCCCUUUCCCUUUGAGGAGGGGAGGUGAGAGAGUGAUUGUGGUGGAGUUCAGCUGCCCAGCUGGGUGAAACCACCACAGAAGCACACAUGGCAAGUGAAGCUUUAGGAAUGUAUUUCUUUGUGAUUGUAUGUGUGCUGGUUUUGACAGUCUUUUUCAAAACUGUAUUUGCAGGACAUUCCUGACAGAGCUGCUUUCAUUUGAGCGUUCUUGCCUGAAGCACUUCCAAGCAUCCUCAGACUCAUUCAAAGCACUGGCAUCUUUUCUCUUGCUGGAACCUAGCACGAAAAUAUUCCAUGGAUUUAGAGACAAAUCUGAGAAGACAUUGCUUUAAUUCCUCUCAGAUUAAUGAGGAGGCUUGACUGUCAGCCCUGAAGCGUCUUCUGGGACAUACUCUAGGCUCAUCAGUUUGUUUUCGUUUUAUAGCAAGAUGACAGUGAUGAAGUCAAUAAGUCAAUUAUGUCUGUGACCUACAGUUCCUAUGAAUUCAAGGAGGAUGAUGUCUUAGUACAGAACUGACAAUAAAUCUUACA